rnacentral:snRNA from 1 species
AUGGCUUCUCAGCUUUUGGCUAACAUCAAGUGUAGCAUGUGUUCUUAUCAGUUUAAUAUCUGGUGUGUCUUCUAUCUAACAACAAUAAAGUCAAUGGAUUUUUAUUUAAACGAGGAGAAAGAUUAAGAGGCUUCUUUAGGCCAGGCAGUGGUGGCACACGCCUUUAAUCCUAGCACUCAGG